rnacentral:rRNA from 1 species
GAUGAACGCUGGCGGCGUGCCUAAAACAUGCAAGUCGAACGAAUAUGUAGCAGUACAUGUUAGUGGCGAACGGGUGAGUAACGCGUUGGUGACCUGCCCCGAAGUGUGGGAUAACAGUUCGAAAGAACUGCUAAUACCGCAUGUGGUCCCCGGGUUUAGAAACCGGUGACUAAAGGAGUACUUCGCUUCGGGAUGGACCUGCGUCCCAUCAGCUAGUUGGUAGGGUAACGGCCUACCAAGGCAUUGACGGGUAAGGGACCUGAGAGGGUGGUCCCUCACAAUGGCACUGAAACACGGGCCAGACACCUACGGGUGGCAGCAGUAGGGAAUAUUGGGCAAUGGGCGAAAGCCUGACCCAGCAACGCCGCGUGUGUGACGAAGGUCUUCGGAUCGUAAAACACUUUUCUGGGAGAUGAGAAAGGACAGUAUCCCAGGAAUAAGCCUCGGCUAACUACGUGCCAGCAGCCGCGGUAA